UACGUAGGGUGCGAGCGUUGUCCGGAAUUAUUGGGCGUAAAGAGCUUGUAGGCGGUUUGUCGCGUCUGCUGUGAAAAUCCGGGGCUCAACCCCGGACUUGCAGUGGGUACGGGCAGACUAGAGUGUGGUAGGGGAGACUGGAAUUCCUGGUGUAGCGGUGAAAUGCGCAGAUAUCAGGAGGAACACCGCUGGCGAAGGCAGGUCUCUGGGCCACUACUGACGCUGAGGAGCGAAAGCGUGGGGAGCAAACAGG
rnacentral:rRNA from 1 species